GCAGUGACUGUGUAGAGAUGUCAAAUAACAUCAAUUAAGACAUGUCCCACUUUCCUACUUACUCUGGCAUAUCAUAGGCCCAUAUUGUAGAGCGAGAAACAAAUUGUUCAGCUCAUACAUUUUGGCCUACACUAUUAAGGGACAGCUGAUUCAACCACCUAAACCAAUCCAUUAACAUUAAUUAGGCCGUCUUCCACCUCCUGAAAUACUUUGGCACACUAUUUUAAAGGCAUAGGCCUGUGUUGUAUAGGUGAACUUUAGUCAUCAGUCAUCAUUAACAUGUCUUUCUAUGUACACUUUUAUUUCUAAUUUCCAGGUUGUCAGCUGUUGUCAGGCUCAUCACCAAAGCAGAAAGACAUAGUGAGACCAGACAUGCCAGGAAAGAGCAAGGCACAGGCCAGGAAGGAGCCAGGCAAAGCCCGGGAAUUUUUUUCCAGCUGUUCCCGCCAGCUAUAGAAGGACUGCUCCUGAGAAUAGAUGGGUGUCUACAUCGUUUUGCAAAAUGGGUCUUCUACACAUGAUGCUUGUCAAGCACUGCUCAUUGACUGGCCAGGGGUCCUCUGUAUUGUGACCACUGGUCAAAGGCGGCACAUGACUGUCUCAGAGUCCUCUACAUCAUUCCGGUGACAGGACUUUUGGCCUAGCCUGACAGGAUGGGUCUUGUGUUACUGUGACCAGACGGCUCAACAAUGCAUCAUUCUCAUCCAUGCCCUCAUCACCUCGAGACUGGACUACUGCAACAGCAUUUUCUAUAUGGUCUUGAAAAUGAUUGUCUUAUUAUUAUUACAGGUCUCUCUGGUCCCGAACCAGCAGGUUCAGAGGAAGUUUCUUUCCUGCGGCUGUCACCCUACUGGACUCAAGCUCUGCAUCCCGGUGACAACCAAUCAACUAAGCCCCCAAUAAACUAAGCCCCCAAUACCCUAUCCCACCCAUAGUGUUCUAUUUAUUUACAAAUGCACAUACUGUAAUUACAGUUAUACAUAGCCAUA